CAAAGUGCUGGGAUUACAGGCAUGAGCCACCUCACCCGGCCCAUUAAAUAUUUUUUAAUGUGAGAAGAUAUACUUAUUAUCAUGAACAUACAAGGGAGGGAUUUGAUCACAGCCGAGCAUUGCGGACAUGUGACUUUGCGUGACUUGAAAAACCCUGGAUACCAACAUCUGAUCAAGUGGAAAAUUCAUAUGCCUAGGAAAAGUAGCCCCUGUGAUGGGUGAAUCUGGUGGCACUGAAAUUUUUUCUUUAACUGCAUUGAAAGGAGAUGUAUCAAACAAGCCUCAGCAUGUUAUUUAAUUAUGAGAUCUGUUUUAAAAUUUAAGUGAGAAACCAGGAUAUCUAGAAGCAAGUUAUAGAGAAUGCAAAACCUAUUCCCCUUUAGGUAUUCAGCUUGAUGAGCCAAGUGAUAAUAAUGGCUGUAGUCAGCUGUUGUUAUUUUUGCAGUAUCUAAGGAAGAGAGUGUAGAUGAAUUCUUCUCUUGUGAACUGCUUCAGUUAACUAUGAAAGGAAUCAAUGUGUUCAAUCUCAUCCAAGAUUUCUUUUUGAACCAUUAGCUAACACUUCAUGUGUGUGGAUCAGUUCUUACUGAUGGUACCUCCUGCUAUGCUUGGUAAAACAUCAAGCUUUGCUGCCUAGAAUACAAAAUAAAGAAAAAUGAGUAGCUAUUUGUAUAAUGCACUAUUGUGCACUUGCUGCAAGAAGUUUGCCUGCAAAAACAAAUAAUGUUCUGUCUUCUUUAUAUGGUAACAAAAACUCCACCAAGAAAAAGAUCCAAAACUUUGCCUCUUCCAUGAUUUUUUUUAAAGGAAUUGGUAAGCUGACACAUCCAUUUCCAUAUAGAAAUGAGGUGGCUUCCCACAGCAACAUGUUUAUUUUGCAACUAGAUAAAGUGAUGAAAAUUAAGUGAAGCACUUCUCUCUUUCAUCCUUCUGAGAGGGUAGCCUUCCCUUAGUUGUCUUGGGUGCCCAUGUAAUUGAAGAAAGAAAGAAUGCAAAAAUAUUAUAUUUUUCCAAUUCUGGCACUAAAAAAAUAAGAUUAUGCAGGAAAAAAAAAAGACUUUCAAGUCAGGUUAUUUCCUUGAGAGAUUUCCCAAAUACUCUGUCUCCUCUUUAACAUACCAUAGUCCCAGCCUGGAGGAUCUAGCUUACAGAAUUUUCCUGUGGGCUAGAGAAGAAACCUUUACUCCCUAUGACAGCAAAGCUUCAAGACCUGCUGCUACAUGGCAGAAGAUACGACAUCACAAAAUAGACAACCCACCCUUUUUUUCCCCAAAGGAUGGUGGGAAGAAGGAAGCAGAAUGGAAAAGAACUAGGAAAGCCAAGUACAGAGAUGAUGUGUGUUCCAAGCACCACCCACCUUACCCCACCCCUGUCCCGCCCAGCUUAGAGGACUGAAGAGAAUGCAGAAUUAGGCAUGGGUAGGGCUGCUUUUGUCCUAGUUCCCUUGGGACUGGUCGGGGACAGGCUCAUAGGCUGUUCUGCACCACCCAGAGAGAAGCUGUGUCACUUGGCAGUACAGUAGGCCAGGAGAAGAUUGUGGUGGCCCCACGUGGCUCUGUGGUAUUUAUAUAGGAUCCUGCAGCUGCUGAGUCUCUGGUGCGGAGCAGCCCAGUGGGGGUUGUUAUAGUGGCAGUGGGGUGCCCUGUAGAGAGCAUUACAGAGUGGGUCACCAGGCCCAGGAUUAGAAGUGUCUGUAGCCCCCGAGGAACCGGGACAGGACUGAAUCAGUCAAGAAGAGACGAGAUGAUGAUGACGGAGUGGCCACAAAGUCCUCCCACCCCUACCCUAUCCCAGAUGAGCCCAUGCUGUAACCACAUGAAGAGCAAAGAAACAACUAUUUAUUCUCAGGGACUGUGUUAAUGAUUCCCAACCAUCAGCAUCGAAGAAGAGGUCCGGAAGAAUGUGAAGAAUGCUAAGUCUUGUGUGGAGAAUAGAGGGGAGCAUGAAGACAAUCCACAGCCUGCAGGCAGGGACUUCAUGGACACUCUACAUUGUGCAGCAGCCACAGAAUUCAGCCACAGGUGCCAGCUGGACAAUGCAUAGGAGUGAAUGAGACAGAAAGCAAGACCAUGAGGAUGACUAAGAAGAGCAAGUACAACAUGGCUGAGACUAAGUGUCCAGGGAGUUGAGAAUAAGUGGCCUAUUGUCAUGUCCUAUAUAAGUAGAGUAUAUGGAUGGGAGGCCAAGAAUACACCAACAAAUAAAAUAUUGAAUAUAUCGGUCAAGGGCAUAUCGAGAUGAUCAGGAUGCUGCCUAUUGGAAUGUUUAUCCUCCCACCCUACCCCAGAAGAGGAGCUUCUCGUCUUGUUCACCGCUGUUUCCCAGCUCCUGGAAGAGCCUGGCACAUAAAAGGUGCACAAUGAACAUUCAUUAAAAUCAAUGAUUAAUUGAACUGGCUAGUAUUCCAUCUCACUUUCAUUACUGGAGAACUGAAGAGCCAGCUAGCCUACAAAAACUCAUUCUGGAUGUAGAAGCAAUAAGAAAACAUGCAUUCAAAUAAAAGCAGAGAAUCCUUCUAAUA
ensembl:lncRNA LINC03016 long intergenic non-protein coding RNA 3016